rnacentral:rRNA from 1 species
UACGUAGGGUGCGAGCGUUUGUCCGGAAUUACUGGGCGUAAAGAGCUCGUAGGUGGUUUGUCGCGUUGUUCGUGAAAACUCACAGCUUAACUGUGGGCGUGCGGGCGAUACGGGGCAGACUGGAGUACUGUAGGGGGAGACUGGAAUUCCUGGUGUAGCGGUGGAAUGCGCAGAUAUCAGGAGGAACACCGGUGGCGAAGGCGGGUCUCUGGGCAGUAACUACGCUGAGGAGCGAAAGCGUGGGGAGCGAACAGG